rnacentral:rRNA from 1 species
CAGCAGCCGCGGGAACACGGAGGGGGCUAGCGUUGUUCGGAAUUACUGGGCGUAAAGCGCACGUAGGCGGCUUUGUAAGUUAGAGGUGAAAGCCCGGAGCUCAACUCCAGAAUUGCCUUUAAGACUGCAGAGCUAGCAGGUGAGAGAGGUGAGUGGAAUUCCGAGUGUAGAGGUGAAAUUCGUAGAUAUUCGGAAGAACACCAGUGGCGAAGGCGGCUCACUGGCUCAUACUGGACGCUGAGGUGCGAAAGCGUGGGGAGCAAACAGGAUUAGAUACCCCCGUAGUCCCUGUCUCUUAUAC